rnacentral:rRNA from 1 species
GAGAAGGCUAGGCCAGCCUGGCGUUGGUUGUCCAGGUUUAAGGUGGUAGGCUGAGAUCUUAGGUAAAUCCGGGAUCUUAAGGCCGAGAGCUGAUGACGAGUGUUCUUUAGAACAUGAAGUGGUUGAUGCCAUGCUUCCAAGAAAAGCUUCUAAGCUUCAGGUAACCAGGAACCGUACCCCAAACCGACACAGGUGGUUGGGUAGAGAAUACCAAGGCGCUUGAGAGAACUCGGGUGAAGGAACUAGGCAAAAUGGCACCGUAACUUCGGGAGAAGGUGCGCCGGUGAGGGUGAAGGACUUGCUCCGUAAGCUCAUGCCGGUCGAAGAUACCAGGCCGCUGCGACUGUUUAUUAAAAACACAGCACUCUGCAAACACGAAAGUGGACGUAUAGGGUGUGACGCCUGCCCGGUGCCGGAAGGUUAAUUGAUGGGGUUAGCUAACGCGAAGCUCUUGAUCGAAGCCCCGGUAAACGGCGGCCGUAACUAUAACGGUCCUAAGGUAGCGAAAUUCCUUGUCGGGUAAGUUCCGACCUGCACGAAUGGCGUAACGAUGGCGGCGCUGUCUCCACCCGAGACUCAGUGAAAUUGAAAUCGCUGUGAAGAUGCAGUGUAUCCGCGGCUAGACGGAAAGACCCCGUGAACCUUUACUAUAGCUUUGCACUGGACUUUGAAUUUGCUUGUGUAGGAUAGGUGGGAGGCUUUGAAGCGUGGACGCCAGUUCGCGUGGAGCCAUCCUUGAAAUACCACCCUGGCAACUUUGAGGUUCUAACUCAGGUCCGUCAUCCGGAUCGAGGACAGUGUAUGGUGGGUAGUUUGACUGGGGCGGUCUCCUCCUAAAGAGUAACGGAGGAGUACGAAGGUGCGCUCAGACCGGUCGGAAAUCGGUCGUAGAGUAUAAAGGCAAAAGCGCGCUUGACUGCGAGACAGACACGUCGAGCAGGUACGAAAGUAGGUCUUAGUGAUCCGGUGGUUCUGUAUGGAAGGGCCAUCGCUCAACGGAUAAAAGGUACUCCGGGGAUAACAGGCUGAUACCGCCCAAGAGUUCAUAUCGACGGCGGUGUUUGGCACCUCGAUGUCGGCUCAUCACAUCCUGGGGCUGAAGCCGGUCCCAAGGGUAUGGCUGUUCGCCAUUUAAAGUGGUACGCGAGCUGGGUUUAGAACGUCGUGAGACAGUUCGGUCCCUAUCUGCCGUGGACGUUUGAGAUUUGAGAGGGGCUGCUCCUAGUACGAGAGGACCGGAGUGGACGAACCUCUGGUGUUCCGGUUGUCACGCCAGUGGCAUUGCCGGGUAGCUAUGUUCGGAAAAGAUAACCGCUGAAAGCAUCUAAGCGGGAAACUUGCCUCAAGAUGAGAUCUCACUGGAACCUUGAGUUCCCUGAAGGGCCGUCGAAGACUACGACGUUGAUAGGUUGGGUGUGUAAGCGCUGUGAGGCGUUGAGCUAACCAAUACUAAUUGCCCGUGAGGCUUGACCAUAUAACACCCAAGCA